UAAGAUCAAUACUUAUGCAUAAGGAUAGAACUGAAAGUUGACUAUUUUGAAUUAUGCACACUGUAUCUAGCUCUAACCAAAACACAAUACUUGUACAUCUGAUCAAAUACUGUGUAUAUGUUUAAAUUUCGAAUUUUGCAUAUACUCAGUGUUUUGUCAUCAUCAAAAAGGGGGAGAUUGUUGACCCCCUAAUGGAUUU
rnacentral:lncRNA from 1 species